CAGUUGCCUCUUGGGCUGCUCUGAUCCAGCUGGGAAUUUCUACCAGUCCUCUGCCACUGACCUCAGCCAAAGCUGUAGCCGACUGGAACGGGGCUCAGGAA